GUGGGGAAUAUUGGACAAUGGGCGAAAGCCUGAUCCAGCCAUGCCGCGUGUGUGAAGAAGGUCUUCGGAUUGUAAAGCACUUUAAGUUGGGAGGAAGGGCAGUAAGUUAAUACCUUGCUGUUUUGACGUUACCGACAGAAUAAGCACCGGCUAACUUCGUGCCAGCAGCCGCGGUAAUACGAAGGGUGCAAGCGUUAAUCGGAAUUACUGGGCGUAAAGCGCGCGUAGGUGGUUUUGUAAGUUGGAGGUGAAAUCCCCGGGCUCAACCUGGGAACUGCCUCCAAAACUGCAUGACUAGAGUACGGUAGAGGGUAGUGGAAUUUCCUGUGUAGCGGUGAAAUGCGUAGAUAUAGGAAGGAACACCAGUGGCGAAGGCGACUACCUGGACUGAUACUGACACCGAGGUGCGAAAGCGUGGGGAGCAAACAGGAUUAGAAACCCCUGUAGUCC
rnacentral:rRNA from 1 species